rnacentral:rRNA from 1 species
AGAUUGAACGCUGGCGGCAUGCCUAACACAUGCAAGUCGAACGGGAGUAGCAAUACUCUAGUGGCGGACGGGUGAGGAAUACGUAGGAAUUUGCCCUUAAGUGGGGGAUAACCCGGGGAAACCCGGAUUAAUACCGCAUGACCUCGAAAGAGCAAAGUGGGGGAUCGCAAGACCUCACGCUUUUGGAGAAGCCUACGUCGGAUUAGCUAGUUGGUGAGGUAAUGGCUCACCAAGGCGACGAUUCCGUAACUGGUCUGAGAGGAUGAUCAGUCACACCGGAACUGAGACACGGU